UGUUAAAAGUUUCACUUAUUCUUUCUGUUAAAAAUUAGCGUGAUUAACGAAAUAACUGAAUAAUUAUAUGUGAUAUGCCAAGUGUAUCUAAGGUUGAUGUACAGAGACCAACUUUAACCGUAAAAAUAAAUAGAAUUUUUAAUA
rfam:Gossypium raimondii Chr01_contig_8, whole genome shotgun sequence.